rnacentral:rRNA from 1 species
AUGCAUUGGAGGAAAUGGGAUGAAAUCGUUAUACCCAAGGGACAAGGAGGAAUGGGGUUUAGGGACUUUCAAAUAUUCAAUCAAGCCUUGCUUGCAAAACAAGGCUGGCGCCUGAUUACGAAACUGGACUCGCUUUGUGCCUGAGUACUUAAGGGAUGAUACUACCAUGAUAUAAACUUUAUGUCAGCAGGGAAGAAGAGGAAUUCCUCCCACACUUGACGGACUAUAUUGCAUGGAAGGGUGGCAUUGGAAAGUGGCCUGAUUAAGCGAGUGGAGGAUGGAUCAACUAUUGACAUGUGGAAUGACCCAUGGAUUCCGGACAAUUUCUCUUCAAAACCGCUAGUUUGGCUGCCUGAAGAUAGUGUCACACAUGUGGAAGAGCUAAUUGACUCGGCAAAUGGUGAUUGGAAUCAAGUUACCAUUGAUGAAAACUUCAUACCUACUCAUGCCAUAGCUAUUUGUAGGAUUCCAAUUUGCCAUACUCAGGAGGACAAAUGGGCAUGGAAGCAUGAUAAGAUGGGAAAUUUUUGGGUGCGUUGA